AUUGAACGCUGGCGGCAGGCCUAACACAUGCAAGUCGAGCGGAGCGGCGGACGGGUGAGUAAUGCCUAGGAAUCUGCCUGGUAGUGGGGGAUAACGUCCGGCAACGGGCGCUAAAACCGAAUACUAUCAGGUGCGCCUAGGUCGGAUUAGAUAGUGGGUGGGGUAAAGGCCGACAAAGGCGACGAUCCGUAACUGGUCUGAGAGGAUGAUCAGUCACACUGGAACGGGGACACGGUCCAGACUCCUACGGGAGGCAGGAGUGGGGAAUAUUGGACAAUGGGCGCAAGCCUGAUCCAGCCAUGCCGCGUGUGUGAAGAAGGUCUUCGGAUUGUAAAGCACUUUAAGUUGGGAGGCGUUACCAACAGAAUAAGCACCGGCUAACUUCGUGCCAGCAGCCGCGGUAAUUC
rnacentral:rRNA from 1 species